GGAUAACUACCCUUUAGGACCGGGAUAACUUUGGGAAACUGAGGCUAAUACCGGAUAGGCAAUUUUUCCUGUAAUGGUUUUUUGUUUAAAUGUUUUUUCGCCUAAGGAUGGGUCUGCGGCCGAUUAGGUAGUUGGUUAGGUAAUGGCUUACCAAGCCGUUGAUCGGUACGGGUUGUGAGAGCAAGAGCCCGGAGAUGGAACCUGAGACAAGGUUCCAGGCCCUACGGGGUGCAGCAGGCGCGAAACCUCCGCAAUGUGAGAAAUCGCGACGGGGGGAUCCCAAGUGCCAUUCUUAACGGGAUGGCUUUUCAUUAGUGUAAAGAGCUUUUGGAAUAAGAGCUGGGCAAGACCGGUGCCAGCCGCCGCGGUAACACCGGCAGCUCUAGUGGUAGCAAUUUUUAUUGGGCCUAAAGCGUCCGUAGCCGGUUUAAUAAGUCUCUGGUGAAAUCCUGUAGCUUAACUGUGGGAAUUGCUGGAGAUACUAUUAGACUUGAGACCGGGAGAGGUUGGAGGUACUCCCAGGGUAGAGGUGAAAUUCUGUAAUCCUGGGAGGACCGCCUGUUGCGAAGGCGUCUAACUGGAACGGUUCUGACGGUGAGGGACGAAAGUUAGGGGCGCGAACCGGAUUAGAUACCCGGGUAGUCCUAACUGUAAACGAUGCGGACUUGGUGUUGGGGUGGCUUUGAGCUGCUCCAGUGCCGAAGGGAAGCUGUUAAGUCCGCCGCCUGGGAAGUACGGUCGCAAGACUGAAACUUAA
rnacentral:rRNA from 1 species